AGGUGGAAACACCUUUUCUAGCAAUAGCCGUUUGCGAGGUGCUGCAUGGUUGUCGUCAGCUCGUGCCGUGAGGUGUCGGCUUAAGUGCCAUAACGAGCGCAACCCUUGCCACUAGUUACUAACAGGUGAUGCUGAGGACUCUGGUGGGACUGCCAGCGUAAGCUGCGAGGAAGGCGGGGAUGACGUCAAAUCAGCACGGCCCUUACAUCCGGGGCGACACACGUGUUACAAUGGCGUGGACAAAGGGAGGCCACCUGGCGACAGGGAGCGAAUCCCCAAACCACGUCUCAGUUCGGAUCGGAGUCUGCAACCCGACUCCGUGAAGCUGGAUUCGCUAGUAAUCGCGCAUCAGCCAUGGCGCGGUGAAUACGUUCCCGGGCCUUGUACACACCGCCCGUCAAGCCAUGGGAGCCGGGGGUACCUGAAGUCCGUAACCGCGAGGAUCGGCCUAGGGUAAAACUGGUGACUGGGGCUAAGUCGUAACAAGGUAGCCGUACCGGAAGGUGCGGCUGGAACACCUCCUUU
rnacentral:rRNA from 1 species